rnacentral:rRNA from 1 species
AUUGAACGCUGGCGGCAGGCCUAACACAUGCACGUCGAACGAGUGGCGGACGGGUGAGUAAUGUCUGGGAAACUGCCCGAUGGAGGGGGAUAACUACUGAAAACAGUAGCUAAUACCGCAUACCAUCAGAUGGGCCCAGAUGGGAUUAGCUAGUUGGGGGGGUAACGGCUCACCUAGGCGACGAUCCCUAGCUGGUCUGAGAGGAUGAACAGCCACACUGUGACGGAGACACGGUCCAGACUCCGACGGGAGGCAGCAGUGGGGAAUAUUGCACAAUGGGCGCAAGCCUGAUGCAGCCAUGCCGCGUGUAUGAAGAAGGCCUUCGGGUUGUAAAGUACUUUCAGCGGGGAGGCGUUACUCGCAGAAGAAGCACCGGCUAACUCCGUGCCAGCAGCCGCGGUAAUUC